CUAGGGUCCCCCCGCAAUGAUACCUUGUGGACUCGGUCAGGCCUGGAAGGGAGCAGCCGCAGCAAGUGACUCAUGUGCCGAGGUGUUGGCUCUAGGGA
rnacentral:SRP_RNA from 2 species